UGCAGCCGAGCGGUAGGUUUCCUUCGGGAGACUGAGAGCGGCGCACGGGUGCGGAACACGUGUGCAACCUGCCUUUAUCAGGGGGAUAGCCUUUCGAAAGGAAGAUUAAUACCCCAUAAUAUAAUGAGUGGCAUCACUUAUUAUUGAAAACUCCGGUGGAUAGAGAUGGGCACGCGCAAGAUUAGAUAGUUGGUAGGGUAACGGCCUACCAAGUCAGUGAUCUUUAGGGGGCCUGAGAGGGUGAUCCCCCACACUGGUACUGAGACACGGACCAGACUCCUACGGGAGGCAGCAGUGAGGAAUAUUGGACAAUGGGUGAGAGCCUGAUCCAGCCAUCCCGCGUGAAGGACGACGGCCCUAUGGGUUGUAAACUUCUUUUGUAUAGGGAUAAACCAUUCUACGUGUAGAAUGCUGAAGGUACUAUACGAAUAAGCACCGGCUAACUCCGUGCCAGCAGCCGCGGUAAUACGGAGGGUGCAAGCGUUAUCCGGAUUUAUUGGGUUUAAAGGGUCCGUAGGCGGAUCUGUAAGUCAGUGGUGAAAUCUCAUAGCUCAACUAUGAAACUGCCAUUGAUACUGCAGGUCUUGAGUAAGGUAGAAGUAGCUGGAAUAAGUAGUGUAGCGGUGAAAUGCAUAGAUAUUACUUAGAACACCAAUUGCGAAGGCAGGUUACUAUGUCUUAACUGACGCUGAUGGACGAAAGCGUGGGGGAGCGAACAGGAUUAGAUACCCUGGUAGUCCACGCCCGUAAACGAUGCUAACUCGUUUUUGGGUCUUCCGGAUUCAGAGACUAAGCGAAAGUGAUAAAGUUAGCCACCUGGGGGAGUACGUUCGCAAGAAUGAAA
rnacentral:rRNA from 1 species